AGUUCUGUUAAGAGCUGGGCACAAAGAGCCCUUUGCACUCCAGCCGCAGGAGCGAGGAGGAGCCGAGACCUGGGGCGUCCAGCGCAGCCUCAAACCCAGGGGAUCGCUGCACUCUCAUUGCGACGUUGCUCUGGAUGCUGUUUGCAUAUCCUUGGGGAGUCACUGCUUUGGCACAACAGUCCCGCGAGGUGCUGGAGUUCCGUCUGUUCUCAUCACACGGACAUGGCUGAUCUGUCUCAGUGGUACCUGGGGGCGAAGCAGGGAGCCGGGCAGUGGAGGCCAACAUUGUUACCAAGUUGGCUCUGUUUUAACACAGGGACUGAGCCUUCUGAGCCUCAAGAGUUCCUGCUGCUUCCC
rnacentral:lncRNA from 1 species